UUGGUUAUGGCUUGGUUUAUUCUGUUUUUCAUAUGAGUGAAAUCAUUACUCUUUCUUCUGAGCGAUGUUGCGUAAGACUGACUUCGGCACGACAAUCAAACAGCAACUGAAUGAAUAUCAAAUCACGCGGGAAGAUUUGCGCGGGGAAGUAGCACUUAGCCACUUUUCUGCUCCGCAUAUCUUACCCGCAGUACAAGUUUAACACAGAAACGGAAGGCUAACUUAAUGCUUUUCACUGCUGUUUAAAUCGUCUUGUCCAAGUAAUUCACGAUGUUCAAUAAAACAAAAUACGCACAUUUCGACUUGAUACCUUUCAGCUCCGACCGAUUCAAUUAUUUUGCAAGUGGCUUGUUUUCAAACCAAUAUUUACUAGAAUAUGUUUGUUUCUGUCAUCAUACAUUUUCAUUUUUGUCAGUUUUCACUGUUAAUGAUGCUCUCCCCCGCACAGCUCAGAGAUAUGUUAAAUCGUAUAUUGAUCAUGCUAGGUUGACACUGACAAUUUACGUUCUGAAAUUAAAAUAAAAACAGAAGAAAUGCGAACAUACCAGCAGGUAUCAACAAAAGUAACCUGUAAGAAAAGCCAUUGAUCGUACUUAUCACUGAAGAAACAUGAAAUAAAAUUUAAAAAUUUGUUAUCCAAAUUUGAUACAAUUUGUAACAUUUGGAAUACAAAGCUUCACAUCUGACCAGAUACUUGGCUGUUGGAGAUGUGCUGAAUAUGAUAUCAUUUAGCUAUCACAAGGUACAUAGUAUGGUUGAUAAGACCAUAUGGGAAACCUGCAAGAUAAUUACAGACAAUGAUGAAUCAAUUGAUGCCUGCUCUGACAGAAGGAAUGUGGAAGGACAUUGCUAAUGCUUUUUAUAAAAUGUGGCAUUUUUCUGAACUUCAUAGGAGCUAUGGAUGGGAAACACAUUUCUAAUAAGGCUCCUUCAAAAACUGGAUCACUAUUGUUCAAUUGCAAAAAGACAUUCUCUAUAACUUUGUUGCCUAUUGUAGGUGCUCAGUGUCAGGGCACAUGGAAAGAUAAUGUUACAGUUAUAGCUAACACUCUCAGACAAUAGUCUUAGUCUUUUACCUAGCUGGUUGCAUUCGUUGAUGUAAAAUCAGAAAUAUACAUUUAAUUAUUUA